CGGGGUGCAGCAGGCGCGAAAACUUUACAAUGCCGGCAACGGCGAUAAGGGAACCUCGAGUGCCAGGUUAUAAAUCUGGCUGUCGUGAUGCCUAAAAAGCAUUGCAUAGCAAGGGCCGGGCAAGACCGGUGCCAGCCGCCGCGGUAACACCGGCGGCUCGAGUGGUAACCGUUAUUAUUGGGUCUAAAGGGUCUGUAGCCGGCCGGAUAAGUCUCUUGGGAAAUCCAGCAGCUCAACUGUUGGGCUUCCAGGAGAUACUGUCUGGCUCGAGGCCGGGAGAGGUGAGAGGUACUUCAGGGGUAGGGGUGAAAUCUUGUAAUCCUUGAAGGACCACCAGUGGCGAAGGCGUCUCACCAGAACGGACCUGACGGCAAGGGACGAAAGCUAGGGGCACGAACCGGAUUAGAUACCCGGGUAGUCCUAGCCGUAAACGAUACUCGCUAGGUGUCGGCCACGGUGCGACCGUGGUCGGUGCCGUAGGGAAGCCGUGAAGCGAGCCACCUGGGAAGUACGGCCGCAAGGCUGAAACUUAAAGGAAUUGGCGGGGGAGCACAAGGGCGAUUCGCGG
rnacentral:rRNA from 1 species